AUUAGUGAGCGGUGUGCAAGAAACUAAAAAGGAUUCUUGUAGUAAUUGCGAAUGAACAAGGAAAAGUUCAUAAUGAAAAUUGGGGCUUUGUGGUCUUGAAUUGUGUUUGACAGAUGCACUGCCAAUGGAAGCGUAGAUGGAAGCCAUUUGGAAAAAUGCAUUAAUGAUGGUGAGAGUCCUGUGUGUCAUUUACAGUUUUCUGUGCACGGUGUGCGUUCUAAGAUUCACGUUCCUUGGGAUUGGAACGCAAAGUGGGUGGUAGAUUUCAUUCAAAGCUAAAUAGUGGAUUGAGACCGAUAGUAAACAAGUACCAUGAGGGAAAGGUUAAAAGGACUUUGAAAAGAAAGUUAAACAGUGUCUGAAAUUGCUGAAAAGGAAGCAGAUGUAACCAAUUCGUUCUUUUCAAGAUUGUCAUGUACAAGCGUGAGUGCUGGCUGCAUCAACGCAAGUGUGGCAGCUGAUUCAAAUCUGAUUGUGCAUGGUGAUUCUUGCUUUGCGUGUCAAACAUCAUUUUGCAAUCAAGGAACACAUGGAUCAUAUGGACGUUUGCUUGCGUGUGAACAAAUGUUUUUUGUAGACAUCAAUUGUGGAUUGUCAUUGUGCGUGGAUGGUUUGGUUUUUGAUUGCGUUCUCACCGUGUGUGUGCGUGUAUCAAUAAACUUUGGUUUGACUCAAAAACAUGACAANNNNNNNNNNNNNNNNNNNNNNNNNAACACGGACCAAGGAGUCUAACACAUGUGCAAAUUCUUGGGUGUGCAAGCCUGUUUGUGAAAUAAAAGUGAUUUGCUGUCACAUAUGCAACAGCAACUAACCGAUCAAUUGUGAGAGGUUUGAGUAUCAGCAUAUUUGUUAAGACCCGAAAGAUGGUGAACUAUGCCUGAGAAGGGUAAAUUCAGGGGAAACUCUGAUGGAAGCUCGUAGCGAUACUGACGUGCAAAUCGUUCGUCGUACUUGGGUAUAGGGGCGAAAGACUAAUCGAACCAUCUAGUAGCUGGUUCCCUCUGAAGUUUCCCUCAGGAUAGCUGGAAUUGCACAGUUUUAUCAUGUAAAGCGAAUGAUUAAAGGAAUCGGGGAUGUGUUGUCUUCGACCUAUUCUCAAACUUUAAAUGGGUACGAUCCAGUGGUUGCUUUUGUGAACUUCGGGGAUAAAUGACAAUUCUAAGUGGGCCAUUUUUGGUAAGCAGAACUGGCGAUGAGGGAUGAACCUGACAUUGUGUUGAAGUGCUCAAUUGCUCGCUCAUCAGGUACCAUAAAGGGUGUUGGUUCAUUUAAACAGCAGGACGGUGGUCAUGGAAGUCGAAACCCGCUAAGGAGUGUGUAACAACUCACCUGCCGAAUGGACUGGCCCCGAAAAUGGAUGGCACUCAAGCGAGUGACUGAUACACAAUCAUUGAUGUAAUUUUACACAUCUGUGAGUAGGAGGGCAUGGGGGUUCGUUGUGCAACUUUAGGUGCAAACC
rnacentral:rRNA from 1 species